rnacentral:tRNA from 1 species
GGAUUGUGGCUCAGUGGUGGAGUGCUUGCCUAGCAUGUGUGAGGCACUGGGUUCAAUUCUCAGCACCA